rnacentral:rRNA from 1 species
GUGGGGAAUAUUGGACAAUGGGGGGAACCCUGAUCCAGCCAUGCCGCGUGUGUGAAGAAGGCCUUUUGGUUGUAAAGCACUUUAAGCGAGGAGGAGGCUACCGAGAUUAAUAUUCUUGGAUAGUGGACGUUACUCGCAGAAUAAGCACCGGCUAACUCUGUGCCAGCAGCCGCGGUAAUACAGAGGGUGCAAGCGUUAAUCGGAUUUACUGGGCGUAAAGCGCGAGUAGGUGGCCAAUUAAGUCAAAUGUGAAAUCCCCGAGCUUAACUUGGGAAUUGCAUUCGAUACUGGUGGGCUAGAGGAUGGGAGAGGAUGGUAGAAUUCCAGGUGUAGCGGUGAAAUGCGUAGAGAUCUGGAGGAAUACCGAUGGCGAAGGCAGGUGGCUGUACCUUAAUCGACGCUGAUGCACGAAAGCAUGGGGAGCAAACAGGAUUAGAUACCCCUGUAGUCC